rnacentral:siRNA from 1 species
UUGGUGUCCAUAAUAACGAAUCCA